AAAACAUGUCUAUAUGGGAGAUAUAUAAAGUCUAGCCUGCCCAUUGGUUUUUUCUGAAAGGCCGCGGUAUUAUGACCGUGCAAAGGUAGCAUAAUCAUUAGUCUUUUAAUUGGGGGCUUGUAUGAAUGGUUGGACGAGAAGUAAGCUGUCUCUAAUUAAUGAAUUGAAUUUAACUUUUAAGUGAAAAGGCUUAAAUGAUCUGGAGGGACGAUAAGACCCUAUAAAGCUUUACAUUGAAUUUACUAAAAAGUAAUUUAAAUAAUAAAAGUUUAUUAGUAAAGAGAUGUUUUGUUGGGGUGACAAGAAUAUAAUAAAUAUAACUGUUCUUUUUUAUUUCAAAAAUAUUUGAAUAGGAGAUCCUUAAUAAAGAUGUUAGAGUAAGUUACUUUAGGGAUAACAGCGUAAUUUUUUUUGAGAGUUCUUAUCGACAGAAAAGUUUGCGACCUCGAUGUUGAAUUAAAGAUUCUUUAUAAUGUAGAAGUUAUAUGAGAAGGUCUGUUCGACCUUUAAAUCUUUACAUGAU
rnacentral:rRNA from 1 species